AUAUAGAUGAGUUUGGUGAUGGCUCUGAAUGAAUGCUGUCCAAAUGCUUGACACAUGCUAAUCGUACGAUUAAUUUAAUGAAUAAUUUAAUUAAUAAGUGGUGUACAGGUGAGUAUAUGAUAUUUUCACUACCUUAAAGUGAGGGAUAAAAUCCCACAUAGUAAUAAAGGCUAUAACCCCAUUCCAUGGGAAAGCCGCUUUAGGAUGAAGAUUAAUAUCGUCGAGAGAGGUAGUAGUAAAGGUGAUGUCUUCACUAGCCUUAAAAUCUCGUAACCGUAACUGAAAGGUUGAUCGGUCACAUUGGGUCUGAAAAAAGCCCAAUGCAAAAUUAGUACAGCAGUGGGGAAUUUUGGUCAAUGGCCUAACGGCUGAACUGGCAAUUUGGGUAAACGAAAUAGAAUUGUAUCUACAAAAAUAAAGUUUUAAGUACGUAUUAAUAAUGAUAAUAUGUAUACUAGUCUUGACCAAUUACGUGCCAGCAGUCGCGGUAAUACGUAAGAGACGAGCAUUAUUCAUAUUAAAUAGGUUUAAAGGGUACCCAGACGGUCAAAAUACCUUAAUUAAAAGGAGUACUUGACUAGAGUUAUAUGUGAGAAGACCGUACUUGAGGUGGAGAGAUUAUAUUCUGUGAUACCAAAAGGACUGAUAAAGGCGAAGGCUGUCUUUUAUGUAAUAACUGACGUUGGAGGACGAAGGCAUAGAGAACGAACAGGAUUUGACACCCUAGUAGUCUUUGCAGACAAUGAUGAAUGCCAUGGACUAGAUAAAGCAUUAUGCGAUAAGUUUAGUCUAUAAAUGAAAAUGAAAGCAUUUCACCUCAAGAGUAAUGUGGCAACGCAGGAACUGAAAUCACUAGACCGUUUCUGACACCAGUAGUGAAGUAUGUUAUUUAAUUCGAUGAUCCACGAAAAACCUUACCACAACUUGAAUAUCUAGUAAAUAGAUACAGGAGUUGCACGGCUGUUUUCAGUUAAUGUUGUGAAACUGUGGUUUUUCCAUGAAAUUAACGGAAUCCUUUGCUUUAUUUAUAGAAUGUUUUAUAAAGCAAUCUUUCUUUAUAGCGGAAAAGAUAAGAAGGAAAAAGACAAGUCAUCAUGGCCCUUAUGUUGUGGGCUAUAGACGUGCCACGUAGUCCUUAACAAAGAGAUGCGAAAAUGCGAAUUUUAGCUAAUCUCAAAAAAGAGGAUAUAAAUUAUACAAGGAUUGUAGUCUGAAACUCGACUAUAUGAAUAAGUAAUUACUAGUAAUCGUGAAUCACCAUGUCACGGUGAAUUUAAUCUCGGAUUGGUACUAACCACUCGUCGCAUGCUGAAAGGAGUUUACGCAAUAAGUUUGCUAUUCUGUUAUAAUCUCUUUUAUAAAUUGGAUUAAAAUAUUAUAAUGGAAUUCUUCGUAUGCGUUACUCUGAUUAGUGUUAAGUCGAAAUAUGGUUCGUGUAGUGGAAGUUGCACGGGGUUUAUAAACUUA
rfam:Colletotrichum incanum strain MAFF 238704 contig752, whole genome shotgun sequence.